rnacentral:rRNA from 1 species
GCUUAGAGUUUGAUCCUGGCUCAGAUUGAACGCUGGCGGCAUGCUUUACACAUGCAAGUCGAACGGUAACAGGUCUUCGGAUGCUGACGAGUGGCGAACGGGUGAGUAAUACAUCGGAACGUGCCUAGUAGUGGGGGAUAACUACUCGAAAGAGUAGCUAAUACCGCAUGAGAUCUACGGAUGAGAGCAGGGGACCCUCGGGCCUUGUGCUACUAGAGCGGCUGAUGGCAGAUUAGGUAGUUGGUGGGGUAAAGGCUUACCAAGCCUGCGAUCUGUAGCUGGUCUGAGAGGACGACCAGCCACACUGGGACUGAGACACGGCCCAGACUCCUACGGGAGGCAGCAGUGGGGAAUUUUGGACAAUGGGCGAAAGCCUGAUCCAGCAAUGCCGCGUGCAGGAUGAAGGCCCUCGGGUUGUAAACUGCUUUUGUACGGAACGAAAAGCCUGGGGCUAAUAUCCUCGGGUCAUGACGGUACCGUAAGAAUAAGCACCGGCUAACUACGUGCCAGCAGCCGCGGUAAUACGUAGGGUGCAAGCGUUAAUCGGAAUUACUGGGCGUAGAGCGUGCGCAGGCGGUUUUGUAAGACAGUGGUGAAAUCCCCGGGCUCAGCCUGGGAACUGCCAUUGUGACUGCGAGGCUAGAGUGCGGCAGAGGGUGAUGGAAUUCCGCGUGUAGCACUGAAAUGCGUAGAUAUGCCGAGGAACACCGAU